rnacentral:rRNA from 1 species
GAUGAACGCUGGCGGCGUGCCUAAUACAUGCAAGUCGAGCGAACAGACGAGGAGCUUGCUCCUCUGACGCUAGCGGCGGACGGGUGAGUAACACGUGGAUAACCUACCUAUAAGACUGGGAUAACUUCGGGAAACCGGAGCUAAUACCGGAUAAUAUAUUGAACCGCAUGGUUCAAUAGUGAAAGACGGUUCUGCUGUCACUUAUAGAUGGAUCCGCGCCGCAUUAGCUAGUUGGUAAGGUAACGGCUUACCAAGGCAACGAUGCGUAGCCGACCUGAGAGGGUGAUCGGCCACACUGGAACUGAGACACGGUCCAGACUCCUACGGGAGGCAGCAGUAGGGAAUCUUCCGCAAUGGGCGAAAGCCUGACGGAGCAACGCCGCGUGAGUGAUGAAGGUCUUCGGAUCGUAAAACUCUGUUAUUAGGGAAGAACAAAUGUGUAAGUAACUAUGCACGUCUUGACGGUACCUAAUCAGAAAGCCACGGCUAACUACGUG